rnacentral:rRNA from 1 species
AUGAACGCUAGCUACAGGCUUAACACAUGCAAGUCAGGGGCAGCAUGGUCUUAGCUUGCUAAGGCCGAUGGCGACCGGCGCACGGGUGAGUAACACGUAUCCAACCUGCCGUCUACUCUUGGACAGCCUUCUGAAAGGAAGAUUAAUACAAGAUGGCAUCAUGAGUCCGCAUGUUCACAUGAUUAAAGGUAUUCCGGUAGACGAUGGGGAUGCGUUCCAUUAGAUAGUAGCGGGGUAACGGCCCACCUAGUCUUCGAUGGAUAGGGGUUCUGAGAGGAAGGUCCCCCACAUUGGAACUGAGACACGGUCCAAACUCCUACGGGAGGCAGCAGUGAGGAAUAUUGGUCAAUGGGCGAGAGCCUGAACCAGCCAAGUAGCGUGCAGGAUGACGGCCCUAUGGGUUGUAAACUGCUUUUAUAAGGGAAUAAAGUGGGAGUCGUGACUCUUUUUGCAUGUACCUUAUGAAUAAGGACCGGCUAAUUCCGUG